GGAGGGUGCGAGCGUUGUCCGGAAUCACUGGGCGUAAAGGGCGCGUAGGCGGCAUGCCAAGCGUGUGGUGAAAGCCCGGGGCUCAACCCCGGGUCGGCCGUGCGGACUGGCGUGCUCGAGCACUGUAGGGGCGGGUGGAAUUCCGGGUGUAGCGGUGGAAUGCGUAGAGAUCCGGAAGAACACCGGUGGCGAAGGCGGCCCGCUGGGCAGGAAGACACCGCAAGGUGUCGGCUGACGCUGAGGCGCGACAGCGUGGGGAGCAAACAGGAUUAGAUACCCUGGUGGUCCACGCCGUAAACGAUGGGCACUAGGUGCCUGGGGGAGCGACCCUCCGGGUGCCGGCGCUAACGCAUUAAGUGCCCCGCCUGGGGAGUACGGCCGCAAGGCUG
rnacentral:rRNA from 1 species